rnacentral:rRNA from 1 species
GAUGAACGCUAGCGGCAGGCUUAACACAUGCAAGUCGAGGGGUAUAUGUCUUCGGAUAUAGAGACCGGCGCACGGGUGCGUAACGCGUAUGCAAUCUGCCUUUCACAGAGGGAUAGCCCAGAGAAAUUUGGAUUAAUACCUCAUAGUAUAAUCAAGCCGCAUGGUUUAAUUAUUAAAGUCACAACGGUGAAAGAUGAGCAUGCGUCCCAUUAGCUAGUUGGUAAGGUAACGGCUUACCAAGGCAACGAUGGGGAGGGGUCCUGAGAGGGGAAUCCCCCACACGGGUACAGAGACACGGACCAGACUCCUACGGGAGGCAGCAGUGAGGAAUAUUGGACAAGGGGCGCAAGCCUGAUCCAGCCAUGCCGCGUGCAGGAUGACGGUCCUAUGGAUUGUAAACUGCUUUUGUACGAGAAGAAACAUCCCGACGUGUCGGGACUUGACGGUAUCGUAAGAAUAAGGAUCGGCUAACUCCGUGCCAGCCGCCACAGUAAUAC